UACAGGGCACUUAACUGGUAUCUAUAGACUGCAUCUGAAUCUGCUGCGUGGCAUUUAGGCUUCAAAUAUGCAUCAAUUACUUGCAAAAACUGAUUCUGGUCAUCUAAACUGCCAUCACUUCCAUUGACAUUGACUUCAGGACGCAACGGGUUUGGCUGUGUUUGUUUCUUUGAACUUUUAGUCUUCUUUGCAAAAGAUAAUCCUUCAGUUGCAACUUUUUGAAGAACAUUAUCGUCUCCAACUGACUUAACAAUCUGGCAUGCUGACUCUGGACCCAGUCCAUGAACUCCCUGAGAGUAGUCACCUCCAAGAAGAAGGGCCAGUGUAAUCAAUGAGUUCCUCCCAAAUCCAAGUUUGCUCUCUAUGUCUGCCAUUUCAUAACAAACUACAUGACCACCUUCCCCAAGGCAUAUGUCUCUGUACACUGUCCUUGCACCAAAAAGGAAGACAUCUGAGUCUGAAGUGAAACAUCCAUCACACAAUGAUUCCGAAUUUAGUAGUGCACACUGUGCUUCAGCUUCCUCAACUCUGAAUUUGGGAAAAAAAAGACAAAGAGCUCAUCAAGGUUUCCAGCAGAGAAAGGACGGCAGAAACUAACCUAAGAUUUCACGCAAGUAAUAAUCUCCUUGCCUAAUUGUUGAUGUCCUAUAAGAUUCCUAUAUUCCUUGAGCAAUGGUCUUCAUUAGAAUGAAGCGAUGGUCGUAGGAAGUGCUGAUUGUUCAGCCUUUGUGUGUUAUUGAAAAACUUUGUUACUGUUCUCAUCUUCAACAUUAGCACAUUACUAUCUACCAAGUAGAGGGUGGAGGGUGGGCUGGUGGUGGUGUUGUGGGUGGUGGGGGGAGUGGGAAGAUGGAGCUGUAAAAAAGAAAAGACCCAAAAUUUACCCAUCUAAGCAAGGGAUCCCGAGUGCUAAUCCAAGGCCUUUUGCUUCUUUUAUCACGCGUGAGAACUCAGAUCCCAUAUUUCUCCUAAGAGAGCAAGUUCUUGUUGAAUUUGUUUCAUCCUGAGUAACCUCGAAUCCUGAAUUUAAGCGUUGUCUGUAGGUGGCUAGUUUGAUUGCAGGAAUCGAUCCAUCAGUAACAAAAAUAAGGCUACAAUUCAAAGCAAUGAGAGCUCUGAGGCGGUGAAAUAGACCCUUAAGGUAGAGCUUGUCUUGGAUAGAGCAAUGUGAUUUAUUCACUUUUUGAAGUUGAACCAUCCAACAAGACAGAUCGAUGCAUAUUCUUUUGUUUUGUAGAUGGUGAAGUGGCAGAGUUUUCUUGCAUGAUUCAAUGAUAUCCCACAAGUUCUUCACCCCCAUAACUCUCUCUCCGACUCCGAUACGUUACAGAGCUUCAAAGAGGGAAAAAGCUCUCGUCGGGUUGAAUUUGAAAAUCGCGAAUUUCAUCUCCCUCUUUACAAGUCCUGCAACCUUCAAGGGGAUAGGGCAG
rnacentral:misc_RNA from 1 species